ensembl:misc_RNA Metazoa_SRP Metazoan signal recognition particle RNA
GCUGGGCAUGGUGACGCGUGCCUGUAAUCCCAGCUACUCGGGAGGCUGAGGCAGGAGAAUUGCUUGAACCCAGGAGGCGGAGGUUGCAGUGAGCCGAGAUCGCGCCAUUGCACUCCAGCCUGGGUAACAAGAGCGAAACUCUGUCUCAA